AUUGAACGCUGGCGGCAUGCCUAACACAUGCAAGUCGAACGGGGCAGCAAUGCCUAGUGGCGGACGGGUGAGGAAUACGUAGGAAUCUGCCCUUAAGUGGGGGAUAACCAGGGGAAACCCUGACUAAUACCGCAUGAUCUCUUCGGAGCAAAGAGGGGGACCGCAAGGCCUCUCGCUUCUGGAUGAGCCUACGUCUGAUUAGCUAGUUGGUAGGGUAAAGGCCUACCAAGGCGACGAUCAGUAACUGGUCUGAGAGGAUGAUCAGUCACACCGAAACUGAGACACGGUCCGGACUCCUACUGGAGGCAGCAGUGGGGAAUAUUGGACAAUGGGCGCAAGCCUGAUCCAGCAAUGCCGCGUGUGUGAAGAAGGCCUUCGGGUUGUAAAGCACUUUAGCCUGGAAAGAAAAAACUUUGGUUAACACCCAAAGUCUUGACGGUACCAGGAGAAUAAGCACCGGCUAACUCUGUGCCAGCCGCCGCGGUAAUAC
rnacentral:rRNA from 1 species